GAGUUUGAUCUUGGCUCAGGAUGAACGCUGGCGGCGUGCUUAACACAUGCAAGUCGAACGGAAAGGCCCUUGCUUGCAAGGGUGCUCGAGUGGCGAACGGGUGAGUAACACGUAGGUGAUCUGCCUUUCACUUCGGGAUAAGCUUGGGAAACUGGGUCUAAUACCGGAUAUUCACGGCACCGUGGUUGGUGUGGUGGAAAGCUUUUGCGGUGGGAGAUGAGCUUGCGGCCUAUCAGCUUGUUGGUGGGGUAAUGGCCUACCAAGGCGGCGACGGGUAGCCGGCCUGAGAGGGUGUGCGGCCGACAUUGGGACUGAGAUACGGCCCAGACUCCUACGGAGGCAGCAGUGGGGAAUUUGCACAAUGGGCGGAAGCCUGAUGCAGCGACGCCGUGUGGGGA
rnacentral:rRNA from 1 species